ACCAAGCUGUUCUAGGUCAACAAUGGCAUGUAGACGGUACCCAAACCAAGCUGUUCUAGGUCAACAAUGGCAUGUAGACGGUACCCAAACCAAGCUGUUCUAGGAUUAUGGGAAUUCAGGGGAGAGGAGUAAGGCAUUAUGGAGGGGCCUUUAAACAUUCUUAAAUUGGACCCCAUCUCAAAAAGUAAAAAAGGGGUGUUGAUGGGGCUGUGGUAGCAUGCUUACCUAGUACACCUGAGACCCUAGGUUCACUCUCCAGUACUCCUAUUCUACCCCCCAAACACCAGCAAUUUGGAGUUACCAUAGUUUAAGGAGAGUUGGAUGCUCACUGGCUGUGCCUUCUCAGCCCCAAAAGUACUUGAGAAUCACUCCCACCCCUUUAAGCCUGCCUCCACACUGCAGCACCAUUUCAAGAUCAAUAAAGAUGCUUCAAGUAUAAUGUUUGAAACAGAAAUUUAUUCUCAGAAUAAUGCACAAAAGCAUGGGUUGAGGCUACUGUCGGGAGCAUCCCUCCCCUCCUCCGCCUCCCCUCUCUUCUCUGAAUGCCAGGGAGAACACAGUUGAAGGAAACAUGCAAUCACAAACAAUGAUCAACUCUAAAGACAAAGGUUUGGUCCAAAAGAACUCAA